CUGUAUAUAGAUAGAUCGAUCCAUCGAUAGAUCUGUAAUUAGUCAUUUGGGAAGCUCAAAGCUCCGCAGGCUGCAGUGUGCCAGGGGAGCCACAGGAGGGUGCGCCAGAGCAAGAUGGGAAGGGACUCCCUUUUCCGCCACUAGAGGGCGCUCCAUAGGGACGCCAAUAGGAGGAUUGUGUUGGAUGGGGAAAGUGUGCCAAAAUGCUGCCACAAGAGGGCGCCCCACAGCAAGGAAUGGGGCUGGGAAAGAGCAACCAAUCCUGUUUGUAGCCACACUAACAGUUUUCAGCCAAUCAGUGGCUCUGAGGUUGUUGGUUGCAGCCUGUUGCUGUGAGGAGGAGUGAAGGAGUCUUGGCUUGCUGUCCUUGUGGUUGGCUUGCCAAUGGCCUGCCUGCUUUGCCCUCUUUCUUGUCAGAUUGUCUUGGCUCUUCUUCAGACUUUAAGGUGGUUGGAUCACCUGGAGUUACUUCUAGCAGAAGAAUAUAACCUGACAUAAUUGGAACAACAGAAGAACACCUUUAGAAAAGUAGCAUUCCUCAGAAUCAAUGGUAUGUGAUGAUUUCUGUUUUCCUCCCAGUCUGUCUUCAGAGUCCGUUUGGGGUAAGGAAACGGAAGCCGGGAGUGAGAAGCGUUGUCUUCAGCCCAGGCUUCUCUUUCUCAGCCCUUUCCUCCCCCUCCCACCAAACAGGUCCAGAGAAAAAAAGCCGCGGUAAUAUUUAAAUAUUACUAUCUAUUGUUCCAGAACAUUCAGGAAUGGUAUGGUAUGGUAAAUCCUGGAACAAUGGAGGAAUGUCCUAGGAGAAGGUGGCAUUCCUAGGAGGACAUGGUAUGUGAUGAUAUCUGUUUUUCCUCCCAAUCUGUCCGCAGAGUCAGUUCGAGGGAAUGAAAGCGAAGUGAGGGGAGAGGCCUUGGCUUCAACCCAGGCUUCUCUUUCCUGGCCAUUUCCUCCCCCCAAAAUGGGCCCAGAGAAAGCAAGCCACUGUAGUAUUUAAAUGCUACUAUCUAUUGUUCCAGGCCUUUCUAGGAGCACAGUAUCAUAUAAGCCUAAAACAUCCUGAGAGAAGGCAACAUUAUUCAAAAAUGAUGGUAUGUGAUGGUCUCUGUUUUUCCUUUCAUUCUGCUCAUUUCCCCCCGGAGUACAUGCUUCUCUGGGUGCAUGGGAAGGGAAGGAAGCUGUGAGAGUGUGGCAGGGGAGGAAAGGGUGCUAAACACGGAGUUUGAAGAACUAAUGAGGUUCACAAAAGAGAAUAAAGAAUGAAAAAAGGAGAAGGAUUUCUUGAGAAGCUGACUCUCCCUGUACGAAGAUGUUGCAAGAGGGCAUCUUCAUUUGAACCAAGCCAAUGAUAUUAACAUCACACAUAAUAUUAAUGAGAGGUCUACAACAGGACACCGCAUAGAAAUUUUGAAAUUCUUUUUUGAUUUUAGAUUGCUCCAUCAUUGAUGUUGCAUCUAUUUAUUUAUUUAUUUUUAAUUGUGAUUUUUUUAAAAAAAUAUUGUUUUUUUAUUAUCUUUUAAAUAGAUAUUUUAAUUGUAACAUGUUUAAUCCUGUUUUAAGGGGGGAAU